rnacentral:lncRNA from 1 species
GCGCGGCCCGGUGCUGGUAGAGCACUGACCCCGAAGGGGAUUUAGCGGGAAGAGAGUGGCCGGGCUCUGGGGGUUUUGUCCGAGGGGGCCGGGAGAGGCCGAGACACAAGAAUAAGGAGCGGCCGCGGCAUGAAAGGCGGCGAGGAGAGGCAGCACUGCUGCUCUUGACUUCUGAGCAGGGCUUAGAGAGCCUGCCCCGGCUUAAGCCGAGCUGCUGGUGCUGACCCUGAGCGCCGAGUCCGCGAGCUCUGAGUCCGGAGCCUCCCAGCCGUGGAGCCGUGGGAUGAGGGGGGCGUUGGGGGACAGGGCAAAGUCGAUCUUGGUUGUACAGCCGCCCGAUCCUAGCGCGGAGCUGCGAGCCUGACCGGCCGCGUCUGGCAUGGUCAGAGAAAGAAUUUUCUUUUCCCAACUCCGGCUUUUGGUUUUGUGUGUCCACCUUGCGCAACUCCGGAGCCAGCCGACCCCACAUGGAUUCUCAACAGGUGGCCGGGAAAGUCUGGAGACUCACCAAGCUGAGGAGGAAGAAGGGAACAUCUCAACCCAAGCUGAAUUCUGAAGAACACUUGGCCCCAUCUUCCAGAAAUCCUAAAUCACAUAGAGGGAAAGUUUUGGCCAGGGCACCAAGAAUGAACCAGAAGCUGAGUCCAUUACUCCAAUUUUCACAUUAACCAGGAGACACAUUGAAAAUUCUUUUCUUGAGUGAGAGACUGAAAUUUUGGCUCAAGGGUGUUUCUGUUGGGUCUUCUCUUUAUAUGGCAUGUGAGGACUGCAUCCCACGUCACAUCUGCAGCCACUCCCAGAUUACACUGCAAGGGAGGGUAGAUUAGGAGUGGGUAGGGAGUAGAGGGGUCUGUAGACACAGCAAAAGCAGCAAGCUGGUGUGGGAAAACCCAGAAAAUAUGUCUCAGAGACAGCCAGUGGCUGCACAUACAAAAGGAAGGCACCUACCUGGAAGAGAAGGGGUUGUGAAGUUCUGCCCAGAGUCACAGCGCUGACGUCCUCAGAAGGUCUCCAGCCCUCUGCAGCAAUCUAUAGUUCAAAAUCACCAUGACUUCUCCCCCACAAAAAAAAAAAAAAAAAGAAAAAGAAAACUGACUCUGAAUCAUAAAUCCUGGCUCCCAAAUAUUGGCCAUAAUUGGGUAGGUGAGAUGUAUCUUGUAUGUCUGGGUGGAAGAGGCUCCUUUCUCCCUGGUGAUUCAUUUUCAGAACACACGGCCAUCCUUCCAAUGGCUUUGAGUUUCACGUCACCACCGGAAAGACCUGCCAGUUUCUUCCUGUUUGUGUGCCUGUCCACUGCCAUCAUGCUACUCCCAGGACUAUGGCUUCUGGGCACUCACUCACCCUUCAACAUGGCUUGUUCACUCCAGUUCUCCCUUUCCAAAUGUUCUCAAUCCCCUGGGCUGUGCGCCAAGGGGGAUUCAGCCCUUGCCCACCGGCUAUGGUCUGAAUGUUUGUGUCUUCCCCAGAUUAAUAUGUUGAAAUUUAAUCACAAAUGUGAUGGUGUAAUAAGGUGGGGACUUUGGGACUUUAUUAGGUCAUGGAGGGGGAGCCUCAUAAAAAAGGCUGCCUUGCCCCCUCCAUCGUGUAAAUCACCAUCUGUGAACCAGGAAAUGGGCCCUCACCAGACACCGAAUCUGCCGGUUCCUUGAUCUCGGACUUCCCAGUCUCCAGAACUGUGGGAAACACAUUUCUGUUGUUUAUGAGCCACCCAGUUUAAGGUAUUUUGUUAUAGCAGCCCAGAUGGACUAGGCCACCACCAUAGUCAGGGAAGAGCUGGCUGAUUUGUGCGUGUCUGCGCUGUGUCCCAAUGAAAGCACAAUAAUCAAUGAACAUUGAUUCUGCAAUCGAUGUUUGAAGGUCAAAGGAGUUGGGAAAGGGGGUCUCCUGAAGCCAAGGAAAAGCAUUGUACUCCCCAAAACUGUGCCAGCCAGGUUAACUUUUUGCGAGAUGCUACAGAUUGAGAUGCUUUAGUUUUACUUCUGGCUCUUUAAGCCCUACUCAAGCUCUAAUUUUGAUAUCUCGUUCUAGACGCCUUAGUUUGGGCCCCUCCCAGGCUCCCUUCUGUUUUUGUUCUUUUUUUCUAACAUCAUCCUUGGCUUUUCUUCUCCUUUAGGUUUGAUCUCCUGUCUCUUGGGUUGAGAAACCAUCCCCUCUGACUCCUGGCCCCCUGUGACCCCUCCAAAGCCCCCUGUACAGGUCUUUGGCCACACAGAGAUUCAACAGUCUAAUAAUCUAAAAUUGUAAAUGCCACAAUUUGUGUGCGUGUUUACUGUGUCUCAGUUUUGAGUUCUUUUUGAAAUCUUUUAGUUAUUCCAGAAGGGAUAGGAUAAAGAGAAGAAAUCAGUUAUACUCCCAGUGGCCAGGCAUGGUAGGGCAGAAAGAGUGUUGACACUCACUACCCCUGCAGGGGGAGAGGGCAGAGGACCCAGGUUAACUACCCAGAGAUGAGAUGGAUCCUGGUCUAACUCAGGCCCUGGGAUACCUGCACCAAUUGCUCUCAGCAGGUCGAGACAUCACAGAAGAAGAGAAGACAUGUCAACUCUCUACAAUAGUGUCUUAGCCCUGGAGAUACUAUUGGAGAGUGACAACAGACAGCAAACAGGGUUCUAUUCAUAGUGGCCAUGGUUUCCCCAAGCAGAGAACAUAUCCAACCAAAGGGACUUCAGCAAAGCUUUUCCUAAUCUGUGCUCUGAAAUGGCUAAGUAGAAGAGAGCUAUCUAGAGUGUAUGAGGAUGUCUUUAAAGUCAACCUUGCAAUAACUAUUGCAUGCAGACUGUAAUUGUGGGCUAAAAGUGAAGGCUGUUUUGUUAGGUGAGACCCUUCCAGAGCACCUCCUGCAUAUGUACACACAUUCUCUCUCUCUCUGUCUCACACACACACACACACACACCUCCCCCCACAACACACACACACACACACACACACACAACCUCCCCCCACAACACACACACACACACACACACACACACACCUCCCCCCACAACCCACACACACAAAACCAACCCCAUCCCAGGGAACCCAACAGUCAUAGAUCUCAUCUGGAGUCCAACUCCUAAUCCAGGUGUCAUGAUCAUCACGUGAGAGAUAGCAGAAUCUCCACCAAUUUUGGAAAGAACUACUCAAGUGUUUUCUAAAAGAAAUAAUGGAAAAAAGUAAACAGCCAAUUGAAUUGCCAAUAAUAAAAAUAGGAUGUGGCUAUCUCCUAUAUUUUGCCGUUUAUAUCCAAAAUAACUUAUGGACAUGCACAAAACAUCCAUGAAAAUAAAAACAUAACCAUUACCUUCAAAAAUCACCCUGGACCCUUUACAUUCUCACCUCUCUCCCUGCCAGCUAUCUGGCUCACUGAAGUCUUGACCUCCGGGGCUCAAGUGAUCUUCCCACCUCAGUCUCCUGACUAGCUGGGACCACAGGCACACGCCACCACGACUGGCUAGUUUUUUUUAUUGUCUGUGGAGGCAUGGUCUCACUAUGUUGCCCAGGUUGGUCUCAAAGUCCUGGGCUCAAGCAAUCUGCCACCUUGGCCUCCCAAAGUGCUGGGAUUACAGGCGUGAGCCACCGCACCUAGCCUCUAUCAUAAUUUUAUUGACAGAGCACAUGGUUGUUUAACCCAGUAAGAGUCUAUAUACUAUUCUUGAUUAGGCAAACUUUGGCUCAUGGAACAAAUUCAUUCUCAUGCUACCUGUUUUGUGAAUAAAAUCUUAUUGGAUCAGAGCCAUGGCCAUUCAUUUAUACACAUUAUACGUAGCUGCUUUCCUGCUACAACCACAAGGCCAAUCGACAGAGACCAUGUGGCCCAUCAAGCCUGAAAUGUUUACUAUCUGGCCUUUUACAGAGUUUGCUAAUCCCUGUUUUAGAUUAUAGAGGAUGUUUGAAUGGUCAAGUAGAGAUGACAAACUGAUGAUUCUAGCACUAGAGGGGCGAGUCGAGGACUGCAGAAACAAAAGCCA